CUUAGAGUUUGAUCCUGGCUCAGAACGAACGCUGGCGGCAUGCCUAACACAUGCAAGUCGAACGAAGCCUUCGGGCUUAGUGGCGCACGGGUGCGUAACGCGUGGGAACCUGCCUUUAGGUUCGGAAUAACUCAGAGAAAUUUGAGCUAAUACCGGAUAAUGUCUUCGGACCAAAGAUUUAUCGCCUUUAGAUGGGCCCGCGUUAGAUUAGAUAGUUGGUGGGGUAAUGGCCUACCAAGUCGACGAUCUAUAGCUGGUCUGAGAGGAUGAUCAGCCACACUGGGACUGAGACACGGCCCAGACUCCUACGGGAGGCAGCAGUGGGGAAUAUUGGACAAUGGGCGAAAGCCUGAUCCAGCAAUGCCGCGUGAGUGAUGAAGGCCUUAGGGUUGUAAAGCUCUUUUACCAGGGAUGAUAAUGACAGUACCUGGAGAAUAAGCUCCGGCUAACUCCGUGCCAGCAGCCGCGGUAAUACGGAGGGAGCUAGCGUUGUUCGGAAUUACUGGGCGUAAAGCGCGCGUAGGCGGCUUUUUAAGUCAGGGGUGAAAUCCCGGGGCUCAACCCCGGAACUGCCCUUGAAACUGGAUGGCUAGAAUACUGGAGAGGUGAGUGGAAUUCCGAGUGUAGAGGUGAAAUUCGUAGAUAUUCGGAAGAACACCAGUGGCGAAGGCGACUCACUGGACAGUUAUUGACGCUGAGGUGCGAAAGCGUGNGNAGCAAACAGGAUNAGAUACCCUGGUAGNCCACGCCGUAAACGAUGAUAACUAGCUGUCGGGCUCAUAGAGCUUGGUG
rnacentral:rRNA from 1 species